rnacentral:rRNA from 1 species
UUCUCCGUUGGUGAACCAGCGGAGGGAUCAUUAUAGAGUUUUCUAAACUCCCAACCCAUGUGAACUUACCAUUGUUGCCUCGGCAGAAGCUGCUCGGUGCACCUUACCUUGGAACGGCCUACCCUGUAGCGCCUUACCCUGGAACGGCUUACCCUGCAACGGCUGCCGGUGGACUACCAAACUCUUGUUAUUUUAUGGUUAUCUGAGCGUCUUAUUUUAAUAAGUCAAAACUUUCAACAACGGAUCUCUUGGUUCUGGCAUCGAUGAAGAACGCAGCGAAAUGCGAUAAGUAAUGUGAAUUGCAGAAUUCAGUGAAUCAUCGAAUCUUUGAACGCACAUUGCGCCCAUUAGUAUUCUAGUGGGCAUGCCUGUUCGAGCGUCAUUUCAACCCUUAAGCCUAGCUUAGUGUUGGGAGCCUACUGCUUUUGCUAGCGGUAGCUCCUGAAAUACAACGGCGGAUCUGCGAUAUCCUCUGAGCGUAGUAAUUUUUAUCUCGCUUCUGACUGGAGUUGCAGCGUCUUUAGCCGCUAAACCCCCCCAAUUUUUAAUGGUUGACCUCGGAUCAGGUAGGAAUACCCGCUGAACUUAAGCAUAUCAAUAG